rnacentral:tRNA from 1 species
CACCGCAUAGUCAAGUGGUUAAAACGUCUGGCAUAUAAACGGAAAAAUCGAGUUCGAUUCCUGCUGCGGUAA